UACGUAGGGUGCAAGCGUUAAUCGGAAUUACUGGGCGUAAAGCGUGCGCAGGCGGUUAUGCAAGACAGAUGGGAAAUCCCCGGGCUUAACCUGGGAACCGCAUUUGUGACUGCAUAGCUGGAGUACGGCAGAGGGGGAUGGAAUUCCGCGUGUAGCAGUGAAAUGCGUAGAUAUGCGGAGGAACACCGAUGGCGAAGGCAGUCCCCUGGGCCUGUACUGACGCUCAUGCACGAAAGCGUGGGGAGCAAACAGG
rnacentral:rRNA from 1 species